rnacentral:rRNA from 1 species
AAAGGAGGUUUUUAGUGGCGAACGGGUGAGUAACACGUAAGUAACCUGCCUUUAAGACGAGGAUAACAACCGGAAGGUUACUAAGACUGGAUAGGAAACAAAAAGGCAUCUUUUUGUUUUUAAAAGACCUUCUUACGAAGGUAUGCUUAAAGAGGGGCUUGCGCCACAUUAGUUAGUUGGUAGAGUAAAAGCCUACCAAGACGAUGAUGUGUAGCUGGACUGAGAGGUUGAACAGCCACAUUGGGACUGAGACACGGCCCAAACUCCUACGGGAGGCAGCAGUAGGGAAUUUUCGGCAAUGGAGGAAACUCUGACCGAGCAACGCCGCGUGAACGAUGAAGUAUUUCGGUAUGUAAAGUUCUUUUAUUGAAGAAGAAAAAGUAGUGGAAAAACUAUAUUGACGUUAUUCAAUGAAUAAGCCCCGGCUAACUAUGUGCCAGCAGCCGCGGUAAGACAUAGGGGGCGAGCGUUAUCCGGAAUUAUUGGGCGUAAAGGGUGCGUAGGCUGUUAGAUAAGUCUAUAAUUUAAUUUCAGUGCUUAACGCUGUCUUGUUAUAGAAACUGUCUUGACUAGAGUGAGAUAGAGGCAAGCGGAAUUCCAUGUGUAGCGGUAAAAUGUGUAAAUAUAUGGAGGAACACCAGAAGCGUAGGCGGCUUGCUGGGUCUUUACUGACGCUGAGGCACGAAAGCGUGGGUAGCAAACAGGAUUAGAUACCCUGGUAGUCCACGCCGUAAACGAUGAGUACUAAGUGUCGGGGUAAAACUCGGUACUGAAGUUAACACAUUAAGUACUCCGCCUGAGUAGUACGUACGCAAGUAUGAAACUUAAAGGAAUUGACGGGACUCCGCACAAGCGGUGGAUCAUGUUGUUUAAUUCGAAGAUACACGAAAAAUCUUACCAGGUCUUGACAUACUCUGCAAAGCUAUAGAAAUAUAGUGGAGGUUAUCAGGGAUACAGGUGGUGCAUGGUUGUCGUCAGUUCGUGUCGUGAGAUGUUAGGUUAAGUCCUAAAACGAACGCAACCCUUGUCGUUAAUUGCCAGCACAUAAUGGUGGGGACUUUAACGAGACUGCCAAUUAAACAUUGGAGGAAGGUGAGGAUUACGUCAAAUCAUCAUGCCCCUUAUGAUCUGGGCUACAAACGUGAUACAAUGGCUGUGACAAAGAGUAGCUGAAACGCGAGUUUUUAGCCAAUCUCAAAAAAGCAGUCUCAGUUCGGAUUGAAGUCUGUAACUCGACUUCAUGAAGUUGGAAUCGCUAGUAAUCGCGAAUCAGCAUGUCGCGGUGAAUACGUUCUCGGGGUUUGUACACACCGCCCGUCAAACCACGAAAGUUAGCAAUGCCCGAAAGCAGUAGCU